GACGAACGCUGGCGGCGUGCUUAACACAUGCAAGUCGAACGGAAAGGCCUGCUUUCCCUUGUAGAUUGCGGGUACUCGAGUGGCGAACGGGUGAGUAACACGUGAGUGAUCUGCCCCCAACUUGGGUAUAAGCCUGGGAAACUGGGUCUAAUUCCCGAUAGGACUGCAGGGUGGUGCCUGUGGUGGAAAACGAUUUUCUAGUGGUUGGGGAUGAGCUCGCGGCCUAUCAGCUUGUUGGUGGGGUAAUGGCCUACCAAGGCGGCGACGGGUAGCCGGCCUGAGAGGGUGGACGGCCACAUUGGGACUGAGAUACGGCCCAGACUCCUACGGGAGGCAGCAGUGGGGAAUAUUGCACAAUGGGCGGAAGCCUGAUGCAGCGACGCCGCGUGGGGGAUGACGGCCUUCGGGUUGUAAACUCCUUUCGACCGCGAGGAAGCCACCUGGUUGGAAGGGUGGUGACGGUAGUGGUAGAAGAAGCACCGGCUAACUACGUG
rnacentral:rRNA from 1 species